UACGUAGGGUGCGAGCGUUGUCCGGAAUUAUUGGGCGUAAAGAGCUUGUAGGUGGCUCGUUGCGUCGGGAGUGAAAACCUGCGGCUUAACCGCAGGCCUGCUUCCGAUACGGGCGAGCUAGAGUUCGGCAGGGGAGACUGGAAUUCCUGGUGUAGCGGUGGAAUGCGCAGAUAUCGGGAGGAACACCAGUGGCGAAGGCGAUCACCUGGGGUUGUUCUGACGCUGAGGAGCGAAAGCUAGGGGAGCAAACGGG
rnacentral:rRNA from 1 species